UGGUUCCCGAGAACUCUGUCCUCUC
rnacentral:piRNA from 1 species